rnacentral:rRNA from 1 species
GACGAACGCUGGCGGCGUGCUUAACACAUGCAAGUCGAACGGAAAGGCCUGCUUUCCCUUGUGGAUUGCGGGUACUCGCGUGGCGAACGGGUGAGUAACACGUGAGUGAUCUGCCCCCAACUUGGGUAUAAGCCUGGGAAACUGGGUCUAAUUCCCGAUAGGACUGCAGGGUGGUGCCGGUGGUGGAAAACGAUGUUCUAGUGGUUGGGGAUGAGCUCGCGGCCUAUCAGCUUGUUGGUGGGGUAAUGGCCUACCAAGGCGGCGACGGGUAGCCGGCCUGGGAGGGUGGACGGCCACAUUGGGACUGAGAUACGGCCCAGACUCCUACGGGAGGCAGCAGUGGGGAAUAUGGCACAAUGGGCGGAAGCCUGAUGCAGCGACGCCGCGUGGGGGAUGACGGCCUUCGGGUUGUAAACUCCUUUCGACCGCGAGGAAGCCACCUGGUUGGAAGGGUGGUGACGGUAGUGGUAGAAGAAGCACCGGCUAACUACGUG